GGCAAGGAUCUGCUGCCAGCUAAGAGUUUGCCUGGGAGAAGUCUGGUAAAUUCACUCACUGCAAGCGUUAGCAGCAGCAAGGCCCAGGUCUCUGUUAAGAAUAACACCUCGCAGCCACCUGUUAUCUCCUCUGGAGGGUUUUUGCGUUGAAUACUCUUUAACUUCAAAGUCAGUUUUCCAUCCCUUUAAGGGCCGGCCCUUCGACAGACGACAGACGGCUGGGAGGGAUCUUUCGAGAUGACCUGAGAGAGAACAUCUUCCCACCUUAUUUAAAGCGUGGCCAAUCCGGCAAAAGACAAUUGGGGAUUUUCAGUAAAUGGCAGACAGGAGUCCCUCCCACUAUUUUUGAAACUUUUCCAUAAGUUGUCAAUAUACACUUUGAAAAAGCAAGUAGAGGCGGCUUGGAGGAAGCGGGGAGGAGGGAAAGGCCGAAAAGAGCGAGGGAGGAGGGGGCGGAUGGCGGGCGGAGGGCGAGCGCAAGCUGGAGACCUGCGCGGCGGCGACUGCGAGGCGCGCCCGGCCCGGAUUCCGGGCUCCACCUCCCGCGGGCGCCUGAUCCGGCUGCGCGUAGGUUCGCCGGACUGUCCCGCCAGCAGGGCUACAUGAUGAGCGCGGACUGGGGCUGGACAGCUCGGCGGCCCCCGGUUGCCCGUGCCCUCGGCCAGGGCUGGUGCCGGUGCGUUCUCACCUGCCUCCGCCUGGAAGCCGAAGUUCAGGUUGGGUGAACAGAUCCCUGCUCCGAGGUGAACCAGGGAGUCUGAUCAGUCCUCGGUUCGUUGCAUCUGCGCUGCAAGGGGUGUGUUGCUGGGGGAAGAAGGGCGUUGUGAGCACUCAGUUUUCUUCCUUUCCAUUUCCCACCAACCAAUUAAUAGCAACUUAUUAGCAACAGAAGGACUUGCUCAAAGAAACAAGCUCUGAGAUGCAGUUUCAGCCAUCUUCGCUGACAUCUUAUGGAAUCUGGCCUUUUAAAUUAGCCCAAGGAUGUCAGAGCGGCAAGGGACCUUCGGGCUAGUCUUUUGUAUUUUCAGGGUAACCCUUGAUUUUCGUGUGUGGGAGGGGACUUCCUGUAGAAUUUCACCAAUGUGUUUGCUUUGUGAAGAGAUUCAGAAGGCCAAGAGAAAGGAAAAGUCCUCUAGGAGGAGUCAUUAAGAAGAAGUCUGUCUGUGAAGAAAAGAAGGCAAACCUAUAGCCACACGAAGAACCUAGUCUCAUUUGCUCUUGAGUUCUUUUAUCCUGGCUCCUGUAUUGCUGACUCAAUCUGCAAGGAAAUAAACAGAAGUUGCUGAUGUGUGGUUACACAGAUGAAAUUACAUUCAUUACAUCCAGUUCAUAAUGGCAGGCCUGAUAUUCAUCAGCUAACUCAACCCUGAGCUUCCUAGUGCCCACACCUACUUGGGGGAUAAGAAUUUCAUUGACCAUCAUUAGGAAAGGCAUACACACCUACACAUCACUCUGCCUGACUCAGCUCAGUGGUACCCACAACCCCCAAAGCAUGCUCCAUGAAUCCAGGCCAGUGGGUGCCCUAACUUGUUAUACAAGCCACCCUGCAAAUGGGAGCCAUUGUUGCCAUGCUUGUGGCUGAGAGUGAAGGGGCUGACAAGAAGGCUGUCCUGGCCCAGGUCCACCUGAAUGAGGCCGUCCUCCAUACCUGGAGAACCCACACAGUCAUCCACUGUCUGUUCAGAAAGCCACAGAUGCCUGCUGUGUCCUAGUCCCUUGGAAGAAGAGCACACAGGACUGGGGCUCUCCCUACAUAAUCUCAUCUUUGGCAGGAACUCCAAGCAGACAGACUUAGCCUUUGCAGAUGGAGGCAAGCCUUCUAGAUGUUUCAGGAGGCAUUUUACUGUGUCUGCAAAAACUUGGUCCCAAAUCGUCAAAGAGAAGCCUCCCACAGGAAACUACCUUCCUCCAUGCCUCAGAAAGUAGCCAUUGGAAUGUCUCUGCUGGCCUCCCUGGUGCCUCCAGGCUGUGUGGCUGAGCUCUUUGAAGUGGGCAGAUCUAGUGCUGGGUGGGCCUCCCACAAGGUUGUAGAUGCCAUCUGUGCUACCUUUCAGCACUCCAGGAAAACCAGCCUGACCUGGAGGAGGUCAUGGAGAAGUUCUGGACCAAAUAUGGCUUCCUGAUGUGUGUUGGGGCUACUGGAGGCACACAUAUUGAGGUGUCCUGCCCCAAAGGGUAGGAAAAGAACUACCCCAAACAGGCAUCAGUACAGUACUUUUCAGUAAUUCUUUAAGCUGUGGCUGGUCUUGAUCUUCAUUUCAGCCAAGCGUUUGUUGGCUGCCCAGGAUCCAGCCAUAAUUCCCAUGUAUUGCAGGUAAGUCAUUUUUGCCCUAGGGGAGAUGCAGGCAUUCUCUUACCCCCUAUCCAAAAAGAAAUGGGGAAAGCCUUAGUCAUAAAGCUUGUCCUCUUGAGUGAGUAGAGCAUACCUUCUCCAUCCAUCAGUGGCUGACAGCCUCCUAACACCAAAUCAUCACUCCCUAGGAGCUGUGUUUCAAUGUUCUGGGGCACCAUGGAGCAAGCCUUCAGGCAGUUGGGAGGCUGGUGACAGUGGCAGGGUAAGGCAUUACAUCAGGCCCAGCACAUCUAUGAUGUGGUCACUGGCUGCUGCUGGGUCCAUAAUCUGUGUAUCCACUGAGGAGAGGUCUUCUGUCUGGAGUGGGCCCAGAGCCUCCGCCCUUGCUGUGGCAAGGAAGCUGCCGUGCAAACAAUGAGGCCCAAAGGCAGCUGGAGCCCAGGUGUGUCAGGUCAUCAGAUGGCACCUGGUAGUCCAAACCCGGCCAGUUCAAGGUGAUAACUCUCCACCCUGCUUUUUCACUUGAAUUUCUCCUUUAGGCCCUCUUUCUUCUUUCCAUGUUAAGCUUCCCCUCUCCCAGAGGAUAAAGCAGUGCCAUUAAUGUUUGCAAUCCUCCAAAGGUGCUGUAUCUUUCUAUAAAGUGCGUGGAAAGGGCAUGCAGGCUGGUCAUCUCCAGGGGAGAGGAACAAAUUGCCUGCACAGUCAAAGUGGCACUGUCAUGUCAAAGAAACCUGUUUCAGGUGUGUGGCUGCCUUACAGCCUGAGCGGUUUAUAGUGCCAGAUCUGCUCACCUGCUGGUCCUGCUUAAAAUUUCCUUAGUGCUGCUUUUGUCAUCCAUAAAGUCAUAAUGCAUUUUCAUAUACAUUUACAGUUGUACACACACGCCUAUUGUAAUAAUAACUGUUCAAAUAAUAAUAAAC